CAGCAGUGGGGAAUAUUGCACAAUGGGGGAAACCCUGAUGCAGCGACGCCGCGUGGAGGAAGAAGGUCUUCGGAUUGUAAACUCCUGUUGUUGGGGAAGAUAAUGACGGUACCCAACAAGGAAGUGACGGCUAACUACGUGCCAGCAGCCGCGGUAAAACGUAGGUCACAAGCGUUGUCCGGAAUUACUGGGUGUAAAGGGAGCGCAGGCGGGAAGACAAGUUGGAAGUGAAAUCUAUGGGCUCAACCCAUAAACUGCUUUCAAAACUGUUUUUCUUGAGUAGUGCAGAGGUAGGCGGAAUUCCCGGUGUAGCGGUGGAAUGCGUAGAUAUCGGGAGGAACACCAGUGGCGAAGGCGGCCUACUGGGCACCAACUGACGCUGAGGCUCGAAAGUGUGGGUAGCAAACAGGAUUAGAUACCCUGGUAGUCCACACCGUAAACGAUGAUUACUAGGUGUUGGAGGAUUGACCCCUUCAGUGCCGCAGUUAACACAAUAAGUAAUCCACCUGGGGAGUACGACCGCAAGGUUGAAACUCAAAGGAAUUGACGGGGGCCCGCACAAGCAGUGGAGUAUGUGGUUUAAUUCGACGCAACGCGAAGAACCUUACCAAGUCUUGACAUCCCUUGACAGACAUAGAAAUAUGUUUUCUCUUCGGAGCAAGGAGACAGGUGGUGCAUGGUUGUCGUCAGCUCGUGUCGUGAGAUGUUGGGUUAAGUCCCGCAACGAGCGCAACCCUUAUGGUCAGUUACUACGCAAGAGGACUCUGGCCAGACUGCCGUUGACAAAACGGAGGAAGGUGGGGAUGACGUCAAAUCAUCAUGCCCUUUAUGACUUGGGCUACACACGUACUACAAUGGCGUUAAACAAAGAGAAGCAAGACCGCGAGGUGGAGCAAAACUCAGAAACAACGUCCCAGUUCGGACUGCAGGCUGCAACUCGCCUGCACGAAGUCGGAAUUGCUAGUAAUCGUGGAUCAGCAUGCCACGGUGAAUACGUUCCCGGGCCUUGUACACACCGCCCGUCACACCAUGAGAGCCGGGGGGACCCGAAGUCGGUAGUCUAACCGCAAGGAGGACGCCGCCGAAGGUAAAACUGGUGAUUGGGGUGAAGUCGUAACAAGGUAGCCGUAGGAGAACCUGCGGCUG
rnacentral:rRNA from 1 species